CUAUAAUGCAGUCGGACGGGAUCCAUCGGAGAGCUUGCUCGAAGAUGGUGAGAGUGGCGCACGGGUGCGUAACGCGUGAGCAACCUACCUCUAUCAGGGGGAUAGCCUCUCGAAAGAGAGAUUAACACCGCAUAAUAUCUCUGACCGGCAUCGGUUAGUGAUUAAAUAUUUAUAGGAUAGAGAUGGGCUCGCGUGACAUUAGCUAGUUGGUAGGGUAACGGCUUACCAAGGCGACGAUGUCUAGGGGCUCUGAGAGGAGAAUCCCCCACACUGGUACUGAGACACGGACCAGACUCCUACGGGAGGCAGCAGUAAGGAAUAUUGGUCAAUGGGCGGAAGCCUGAACCAGCCAUGCCGCGUGCAGGAUGACUGCCCUAUGGGUUGUAAACUGCUUUUGUCCAGGAAUAAACCUUUCUACGUGUAUCAAGCUGAAUGUACUGGAAGAAUAAGGAUCGGCUAACUCCGUGCCAG
rnacentral:rRNA from 1 species